UACGUAGGGUGCGAGCGUUAAUCGGAAUUACUGGGCGUAAAGGGUGCGUAGGCCGCACGGUAAGUCAGAGGUGAAAUCCCGGAGCCCAACUCCGGAAUGGCCUCCGAUACUGCCGUGCUCGAGGACUGGAGAGGAGUCUGGAAUUCACAGUGGAGCAGUGAAAUGCGUAGAUAUUGUGAGGAACACUAGUGGCGAAGGCGAGACUCUGGACAGUUCCUGACGCUGAGGCACGAAGGCCAGGGGAGCAAACGGG
rnacentral:rRNA from 1 species